rnacentral:rRNA from 1 species
UACGGAGGAUCCAAGCGUUAUCCGGAAUUACUGGGCGUAAAGAGUUGCGUAGGUGGCAUUGUAAGUCUGUAGUGAAAGCGUGGGGCUCAACCCCAUACACAUUAUGGAAACUGCAAAGCUAGAGGACAAGAGAGGCAUCUGGAAUUCCUAGUGUAGGAGUGAAAUCCGUAGAUAUUAGGAGGAACACCGAUGGCGUAGGCAGGGUGCUGGCUUGUUCCUGACACUAAGGCACGAAAGCGUGGGGAGCAAACGGG